rnacentral:rRNA from 1 species
GACGAACGCUGGCGGCGUGCUUAACACAUGCGAGUCGAACGGAAAGGCCCUGCUUUUGUGGGGUGCUCGAGUGGCGAACGGGUGAGUAACACGUGAGUAACCUGCCCUUGACUUUGGGAUAACUUCAGGAAACUGGGGCUAAUACCGGAUAGGAGCUCCUGCUGCAUGGUGGGGGUUGGAAAGUUUCGGCGGUUGGGGAUGGACUCGCGGCUUAUCAGCUUGUUGGUGGGGUAGUGGCUUACCAAGGCUUUGACGGGUAGCCGGCCUGAGAGGGUGACCGGCCACAUGGGGACUGAGAUACGGCCCAGACUCCUACGGGAGGCAGCAGUGGGGAAUAUUGCACAAUGGGCGGAAGCCUGAUGCAACAACGCCGCGUGCGGGAUGACGGCCUUCGGGUUGUAAACCGCUUUCGCCUGUGACGAAGCGUGAGUGACGGUAAUGGGUAAAGAAGCACCGGCUAACUACGUG